UACGUAGGGUGCAAGCGUUUGUCCGGAAUUAUUGGGCGUAAAGAGCUUGUAGGCGGUUUGUCGCGUCUGCUGUGAAAUUUCGGGGCUCAACCCCGAACUUGCAGUGGGUACGGGCAGACUAGAGUGUGGUAGGGGAGACUGGAAUUCCUGGUGUAGCGGUGAAAUGCGCAGAGUAUCAGGAGGAACACCGAUGGCGAAGGCAGGUCUCUGGGCCAUAACUGACGCUGAGGAGCGAAAGCGUGGGGAGCGAACAGG
rnacentral:rRNA from 1 species